GCCAUGUCAAAACUGUCACAAGACUCCUCUCAAGAAGCCAGGUAUUUUGGUCGACGCAUGCUGCUCUCUCUGUCAUCACAUCCCGACUUUGAUAAGAUUCUUGAGAAAUAUGUUCCCACCAAAGAUCUACCAACUAUUCGAGUCACUGUCCUAACUUUAAAGACAAAGGGUCUUGGUGACAUGCCCUCGGACAGCCAGUCAGCCAGAGGCAGGC